AUGUGUCUGGAUGGUGACAGAUGGGAAUCUUCUCCAGUGACCAGAAUCCAUGCCUUACCUUGGGAGCCCAAGUCAACAGUCAUAACUUUUUGAGGACACAUGUUUAUUGCUGCUGCUGGGGGCAGCUGCUCUUGUACCCACUUUCAAAUGGGCUGUGGAAGAGACAAAGCUCAUCUGGCUGCUGGGGCAGUGGCAUCCUCAUGCAAGCUGGUCUACUGGUGGCUGCCCCUGUGACCUGCUUCUGAAUGGCCAGGCAGGAAAAGUCUCCCACUGUGUUGCAUUUAAAGAAAAGAAAAAGAUGAAUUAAGUAAAAAGCUCUGCAAACAACUGAGUGUAAUUAUUGGAUAUGUAUAAACUUAUGCAUAUUUUCCUUUUUUUAAUUAUACUUUAAGUUCUAGGGCACAUGUGCACAACGUGCAGGUUAGUUACAUAUGUAUACAUGUGCCAUGUUGGUGUGCUGCACCCAUUAACUCGUCAUUUAACAUUCGGUAUAUCUCCUAAUGCUAUCCCUCCCCCCUCCCCCCACCCCACAACAGGCCCUGGUAUGUGAUGUUCCCCUUCCUGUGUCCAUGUGUUCUCAUUGUUCAAUUCCC
rnacentral:lncRNA from 10 species